GGCAGUGCGGCAGACUACACAUGCAAGUCGAGCGAGAUCUUCGGAUCUAGCGGCGGACGGGUGAGUAACGCGUGGGAACGUACCCUCUUCUGCGGGAUAGCCACUGGAAACGGUGAGUAAUACCGCAUACGCCCUUCGGGGGAAAGAUUUAUCGGAGGAGGAUCGGCCCGCGUUGGAUUAGGUAGUUGGUGGGGUAAUGGCCUACCAAGCCUACGAUCCAUAGCUGGUUUUAGAGGAUGAUCAGCCACACUGGGACUGAGACACGGCCCAGACUCCUACGGGAGGCAGCAGUGGGGAAUCUUAGACAAUGGGCGCAAGCCUGAUCUAGCCAUGCCGCGUGAGUGACGAAGGCCUUAGGGUCGUAAAGCUCUUUCGCCUGUGAUGAUAAUGACAGUAGCAGGUAAAGAAACCCCGGCUAACUCCGUGCCAGCAGCCGCGGUAAUACGGAGGGGGUUAGCGUUGUUCGGAAUUACUGGGCGUAAAGCGCACGUAGGCGGAUUGGAAAGUAUGGGGUGAAAUCCCAGGGCUCAACCCUGGAACGGCCUCAUAAACUUCCAGUCUGGAGUUCGAGAGAGGUGAGUGGAAUUCCGAGUGUAGAGGUGAAAUUCGUAGAUAUUCGGAGGAACACCAGUGGCGAAGGCGGCUCACUGGCUCGAUACUGACGCUGAGGUGCGAAAGUGUGGGGAGCAAACAGGAUUAGAUACCCUGGU
rnacentral:rRNA from 1 species